GAUGAACGCUGACAGAAUGCUUAACACAUGCAAGUCAACUGUGGCGGACGGGUGAGUAACGCGUAAAGAACUUGCCUCACAGUUAGGGACAACAUUUGGAAACGAAUGCUAAUACCUGAUACUGUGAGAGAGCUUUGCGUCCCAUUAGCUAGUUGGAGAGGUAACGGCUCACCAAGGCGAUGAUGGGUAGCCGGCCUGAGAGGGUGAUCGGCCACAAGGGGACUGAGACACGGCCCGUACUCCGUCGGGAGGCAGCGGUGGAGAAUAUUGGACAAGGGACCAAAGUCUGAUCCAGCAAUGCUGUGUGCACGAUGAAGUUUUCGGGAUGUAAAGUGCUUUCAGUUGGGAAGCAGUACCAACAGAAGAAGUGACGGCUAAAUACGUGCCAGCAGCCGCGGUAAUUC
rnacentral:rRNA from 1 species